rnacentral:misc_RNA from 1 species
GCCGAACCUUUUAAUUUGGGUAAUCUUGCCCAAGAUUGCAAAAUUAGCUUCAAUUAUACCCUUUGGUCAAAAUUGAAGAUAAAAAAUAAUAUUACAUUAUUUUCAAUUACACCCUCAAAGAGUUACAUUUUAUUCACUUGUUUAUUAGCACAACAUAAGAGUGCAUAUUUAUAAUGAAAGAUACAAUAUAUAUAUGGCAUCCCAUAAAUCA